UCGAGCGGGAAGAAAAUGGUGUGUUGGCUAAUAUCAUCAUGCUUGACGGUACCGCUAAAGGAAGCACCGGCUAACUCCGUGC
rnacentral:rRNA from 1 species